GACGAACGCUGGCGGCGUGCUUAACACAUGCAAGUCGAACGGAAAGGCUCCAGCUUGCUGGAGUACUCGAGUGGCGAACGGGUGAGUAACACGUGGGUAAUCUGCCCUGCACUCUGGGAUAAGCCUGGGAAACUGGGUCUAAUACUGGAUAUGACCUUUCUCCUUAUGGGGUUUGGUGGAAAGUUUUUCUGUGUCGGAUGAGCCCGCGGCCUAUCAGCUUGUUGGUGGGGUGAUGGCCUACCAAGGCGACGGUGGGUAGCCGGCCUGAGAGGGUGAUCGGCCACACUGGGACUGAGAGACGGACAAGACUCCGACGGGAGGCAGCAGUGGGGAAUGUGGGACAAGGGGCGCAAGCGUGAUCCAUGAAGGCCGCGUGCAGGAAGAAGGCGUUCGGGUUGUAAAAUGCGGGUGUACGGAACGAAACGGCUCUGGUGAAGACCCGGGGCUAAUGACGGUACAGGAAGAAUAAGCAACGGCUAACUACGUG
rnacentral:rRNA from 1 species